GUAACUACUAUUCAUUCACUGUACAACAUGGCACGUAACUACUAUUCAUUCACUAUACAACAUGGCAGGUAACUACUAUUCAUUCACUAUACAACAUGGCAGGUAACUACUAUUCAUUCACAAUACAACAUGGCAGGUAGCUACUAUUCAUUCACUAUACAACAUGGCAGGUAGCUACUAUUCAUUCACUAAGUACCAUAGGAGAUUGUACUAUUCAUUCACUAUACAACAUGGCAGGUCAUUACUAUUCAUUCACUGUACAACAUGGCAGGUAACUGCUAUUCAUUCACUAAGUACCAUAGGAGAUUAUACUAUUCAUUCACUAUACAACAUGGCAGGUCAUUACUAUUCAUUCACUGUACAACAUGGCAGGUAACUGCUAUUCAUUCACUAUACAACAUGGCAGGUAGCUACAAUUCAUUCACUAAGUUCCAUAGGAGAUUAUACUAUUCAUUCACUAUACAACAUUUUUAUUUUUUUAUUUUUUUAUUUUUUAUUUCACCUUUAUUUAACCAGGUAGGCCAGUUGAGAACAAGUUCUCAUUUGCAACUGCGACCUGGCCAAGAUAAAGCAUAGCAGUGUGAGCAGACAACACAGAGUUACACAUGGAAUAAACAAUUAACAAGUCAAUAACACAGUAGAAAACAAAGGGGGGAGUCUAUAUACAAUGUGUGCAAAAGGCAUGAGGAGGUAGGCGAAUAAUUACAAUUUUGCAGAUUAACACUGGAGUGAUAAAUGAUCAGAUGGUCAUGUACAGGUAGAGAUAUUGGUGUGCAAAAGAGCAAGUAAAUAAAUAAAAACAGUAUGGGGAUGAGGUAGGUGAAAAUGGGUGGGCUAUUUAC
ensembl:lncRNA